rnacentral:lncRNA from 1 species
GAUUGUAAGCAAUUGUCCAUGGGAACACUCUAAGCUGGUGUUCUUCUCCAUUUAAUGGCAGAUAAUUAACUGACCUGGAUAACGACAUAACGAAGUCAUCAUAUUGAUCAAAGCGCAGCAACAGUUGCCGACGCUCAAGCAGCCCGAUCAAACAGUUUCCUUUCACGCCCAUAUGCUUGGGCAGUAAACUUCAGAUUUUAAUUGAACUUUUCACUUCUUUGGCUAGUCAACUUACUUCUCGUGAAUAUGGUUAUCUAUCUGUGCAUUCGAUAAUUUAAGGUGUUAUCUGUUUAUUUUCCCUUUAACGUGUUCAUUUUCUUCUUUAGUUGUUUAUUCUUUGUUAUUAAACGGGCAUAAAUUUGUUAUUUUAACAGAUAAAAAACUUGAAGCCCGAAGAACCUAUCCUUGAAGAAAGUGUAGAGCAAGUUGAAGUACAAGAGGUUUUUGGUUCGUGAUGGUUUAAAAACAGUCUUAUGUACAUAUAUAUGUUACAAUUUUACUUUUUUUUCUUUUUAGGAAUUAUUAAAAAUGAUGAUUAACUCAUCUCAUUUUAUGCUUCCAGUUGUCUCUUGGAUGGGUUUGCGUUAUUUUUACUUUUCAUUGUUUUAGUAAGAUGGGUUUAUUACAAUUUGGAUUGGUUUUCGGUAAAUAUGAUACUUUAGUUCUUUGUAUUAACAAGAUAUGAAGUAUUUGGUUUAUUUUUCAAUGUUGUUGAGCGUGUAUGAAAGCAUAUAAA